rnacentral:lncRNA from 1 species
ACCGUAAACACCCAUAAGUGGGGUUUUGAAGCCCCAAACCCCUUCCAAAUCACUCUUAGGGCUUAGAUAUGACUUGUAGACUUGCAUGUAUGAGCUUAGAACCACAAAAUCAUAUCAUAUGGAGAGUAAACAUGAGUUUACAGCCCAAGAACAAUCAUGGACCGUAAACCCCUCUUCAUGGGUCGUGAGCACCUUUUAAGGUGUUAAACUUGCCCUUAAACACCUCCUAUGGGUAGGGUAAAUGUCUAGAAUCAACCACCAUUGAAGUAGGGGCAUUAAACAUCAAAGAAACUAUGGACUUAGGAGUUUACGGCCAUAAACCCCCAAAGGAUUGGUCCAUGCGCCGUAAACUCCCUUAAAGAGGCCAAAUGACGCCCUAACUUCCCCAUAUAGCUUGGAAUAAUGCAUAGAACCUUGUAUUCUUUCAUUUAAGCCCUUAAAUCAUGAAUUGAAGGACCCAAUGAGAGUUUACGGACGUAAACUCUAUUUUUACAGCAGUGAACUCCCUUAAAUGGUUCAUUUGGAGCCUUAACCCCUUCCUAUGCCCUAGAAUUGAACCUAGCCUAAUUCCACAAGUGAUAUAAGACCUUUGAGCAUCAAACAACAUACCACCCAUGAGUUUAUGGCCGUAAACUCAUGGGGAUAUGGUCUUAGGGCCAAAAUCUCCAUAAAAAGUUUACUCUUGAAGAGUAAACUCCCUAACUAGGCCAUACACCCCCUUAUUGCAACCCAAUAGCCUCCUAGCACUUGACCAAAGUGUUUUUCCGCACAUUCGGAUGCUUAUACGUGUUUGAUUACUGUUAUAAUCACUAAUUAUAUGUAAACAUAUGUCUUCAUAUGUUAUUUGGUCAUUAAGUGUGUUCAAGUCUUUACUUGACACCGAGCACCCAACCGAAACCUCCAUCCGAUCCACUUACAGCAGGUGAGUUCAUACCCCUGAAUUAACCUUUUAAAUGAUUUUAACUGCUUUUAUAAGGGGGAAUACAAGUUGAACUGUACAACUAUUAGAUAAAUCACAUGUGAUUAAUAACUGUAUACAAAAAUAGAGUUUGCAUGUUAAACUGUUUAUCCAGCUUAAAGAUUUCCAAAUCAUGUUUUCGAAUCUUGUUAAAGUAUGAAUAUCCCUUUUUAAGAUCAUUAAAGGUUAUCCAAAGUUUUUCAAAGUUUGUUUACUGAAGAGAUAUCUAGUCGAAAUUUCUUAUCAAGGGUUUUCUUCGCUUAAACUGUUUUAUAAAAAUCAUUUUCAAAGCUGUGUAUGAAAGGUUUUUCAAAGGAUUCCAAAGAUUUUCAAAACUUGUUUUAACAAAUUGACAUCAAGUCAUACAUUUCUUAUAUGUAAAGGUUUUCCAAAGUUUUCUUCUAUGCUUUUAUUUUGUUAAAUGCAUGCAUGUAUUUGUAUAGUUAUAUAAAUAAUGUUUAAAAGACUUAGGAAGGCUAGUUCGCCCUAUUUCCUUUUCAUCGUUGGGAUGUGGUCUGGUGGGUAUCGGUUAUCCAUCCGAAGAUCGUUUANACAUUAGUUAUAUAUCAUGUAUACAUAUAUGGACAUAAAGGUUUCCAUCGACCAGUUCAUUUCCCUUGGGUAGCAAGGGCGUCCUUCCAUUCAUCAUUCGUAGACCAGAGACACUAGUAACUAUUAUAGGAAUAGUUAGGAGAUUCUAAUAACUCUUUCUAGUCCAGAUAAUUCCAAAGGAGUCAGUUCAUUCGCAAGUCUACAUUGUUAUUCCAGUACUUACAAUAGAAUUCAAAAUACGAGAUGCAUCUUCAAGACACAGAUCUCCCCGUCGUCAAGUUGGUAACAAGAGUCUCCUGGAGGGAGAGCGGGCAUUCUGUGUAUAGAUCUAUACGGGACAGACUAUUCCGCACCCUGACUGUUAGCNACACUCCCGCACCCUGACUGCUAGCUACAGUCCUCGGCCUACCAAGCCAAGGGGUGACAAAUGUCACAUUUAUUCCGACGCUUGCAGGGCGUCAAGUACUUUAUUGUCAAUCCGUAUGGUCACGAGUAUCUCCAUGUUUACCUUAUAAUUCAUGGCCUUAAGGUCACGAGAAUUAACAUUGUAUUUUUAAAACAACCCACUUAGGAUUACCGGAUGUUUUAGACUUUGCUAGCUGUGUCGUUCAUUCGAUACUGUCUGGAUUCUUUGUUUCCUUUUGUUAGACUAAACCGGGCGUAUCAUUCAUUCGAUACUCUCCUGGAGUCUAUGAUUUCUUUUGCCUUAGUCAGCAGUAUUACUGCUGAGGCAUAUGUUAUUUUGCCCCUAGUUUUUUUACUAGUGAUAUUCUCAUAUUUUCUUUAAAGUCAAUACCGUACUUUGGUAAUAUUAGUAUUCUGGGGAAAAUUACUCCUUAAAACAUAAGUCUGUCGGGUCUUGGCAGAAGACCGCCUUUAUUUAGAAAUAUAGGAUUUUCUGGAAAGGAAGCUAAUACACCGUAGAUUCUAAAAUACUAUCUUUCAUAAAGUUAUUUUGAAUAGAAAUGCGUAUUUAUACAAAUGACACAAAAUACUUAUGAACUCACCAGCAUUAUAAAAUGUUGAUACUCGCUUUCAAAAUAACUUGUAUUCUCAGGUCAGCGAUAGACAGGUACAUCCCGGGAGCUUUUGUGAAGACAACCUAGUACGAAGCUACAUCUAUAUUAUUCCUUGUAUUACUUUGAUGUUACUAUGAAAUGUAAACUAUGUAAAAUUAUUACUAUUAAUGCAAUGGUUGUUGUACUUUGAUUACUAUACUGCAUAUGUUGUGAUACUUGACAUGACGUCAUCCACCCCAGAACGUUUCCGCCGUUCCGGUUUUGGGGUGUGACAGAUUGGUAUCAGAGCAUUGUUUAUAGUGAGCUCAGUAUAUCAAUUCACAAAAGAUAUAUAGCCUAUAAAUACAUUGGGAUAAAACACUCUGACCAAGAAUUAUACUUUUAAAUAUAACCAUAUUUUACCAAAGUAUAAUAACAUCCAGAAUCUAAAACACUCGAACAAAAGUAUCACAAGAAGAACGAAUAAAAUUCUUUGGAUGUUGACCAUUACCGUCAAACCUGGGCAGUUAUGUAGUCGUAAGCUGGAAUAAAUGUAACCUGAUCAACUACAUUUAUUCGAGAUGCGACCAACGUGUGGUUGGGAGUGAUGGUGGUGUUGCAACGAAUCUGAAACUUACCAACUAGGAAUGCUAGAGCCAAACAUAAAGUUUAAAAUACUAUGGAAGUAUUUUGGAAUACUAAAAGACUCACAUUAAUCCCAUAAUCAUAUUCAAAAGUUAAGAAUCAAACAAGUAAUUAAAAUACCAUAGGCGUAUUUUAGGAUCCAUAGAUAACCUUGUGUGAAAAACUAAAAAGAUCCUCAUUGAUAUACCUAUGAUUACAGAGGGUAUACUUCUAAGGUUAUAUAUGAUAAGGAUCCCAUAGGCUAAGAAUGUGUGGUUUCGCUCUACUUCCUUUUCCUUGUUUGGAUGUGGAUAUAGAGUAGUAUCACAUAUUUGAAGGCCUAUCGGAUCUAAGCUAUAUAUAAUUUGUGUACCCUAUGUAAUUGUAGCAGGACUCGAUGUGGAUCACCCAGUGAAAUGUUAAUAAUCUCUUAGGAUUCUUUAGACAUUUCCAUUCUCACACGAACCCUGUAGAAAACCCUACCCACUUUAAUGUUUGACAAAAGAGUUGAUUCAGACCCAUAAGAGGUUCAUUUAGAAGAUUUCCAGUUCGGAAAUAGAUGAACUAGGAUGAGACAAUUGAAGCCACCAAGCGCCUAUACCUUUUAGGGACACCGGUGGGGAAACCUGCCUGAACUUCUGAGACUUCCAGUCAUCCAUCAUGAAGCGAUGACACUCAGGGGUAGGAUCAGAAGUAAGACAGCGCUGACACUCGGAUUUAGAAUCAGAAGUAAGACGGAGUAGAAAUUCAAUAUGUCUACACGAAAAGAGAACCCUAGGUAACUACCCGAAGAAAACCAAUGUCGAUCCCAGUCAAGGAUAAGAGGUAGACAGAGGGAGCCAGCACAUGGAACCCGAGAAGUGUCUUUUCCUCGUUGUAGUCGCGCUAAUACACCCAUAAAAUAAGACAAUUUAAUGGGUUAGUGAUUACACUACUCACACUAUGUGUUAGGUAAAUCGCCUUUUCCCGUCGCAUGUAACACGAUUAGAUCAGAUCCCAAAACCUCGAUCGAGGGUGUUUAGCCAUAAGUUUUCAUGAGCCCUUUUCCUCCGUGAUCCUCGUUUCGAACUUCCCUCAAAUCUUUCCAAGCCGGAGAGUGAACCUUUCCAGCAUAAAGACAACUUAGUAGGAACGACUCCCAUCUUAUGGCUUUCCGAUACUCAUACCCCUACCUUGAAUACCCGAACUACAUCAUGGGGAUGUAGUUCGACACUCAGAUAACCAAUAUCCGAGGCGCGGGAAAAUUUACGCCUAUUAUAGUAAGAAUAGAUACGUCUAGGGUUAAACAUUGUCUCUCAUCAUCUUGUGUUCCUUUUCGUGUACGAAAACCAUGCCUCCGAAGAAACGUAACCAAGCCACUGGCAAGAAACCGACUCUCCUAUUUGAUGAAGCUAUGUUCCAAGCUGCAGUCUCGGCAGCCAUAGCAGUUGUCAUGGCUCAACUGAAUGCUAACAACGCCAAUGUUAGCAAGAACUCUAUCGGAAAUCCCGAUCCUAGCAAUGGACAGUAGAAACCAACACCUGUAUACCCAGCCACCCAAGAACCCCAACCAAAGCCACUGAAGAGAAAGCUCAAGAACGAGGAGGGAAGUACCUCGGCUCAAGGACCUUUCGAAGGGCAACGAGCUGAGACAGUCAAUAUCCCUACCAACCCUUCCAUCUCGACUCCUAGAAGACCAUACCUAGGAAGCCUCCCCCGUUGCAGCAAGUGCAGCUGCCAUCAUCAUAGUACCUGCCGGGAACUCUGUUGUACUAGGUGCAACAGGAAGGGACAUAUCUCUCGUACCUGCAGAGCCCCGGUUGAGUUCAUUACAUCAACUACCAAUGUGGGGUCCAGUCCAGUUUGCCAUCUAUGUGGUGAAAUUGGGCACUCCAAGCGGGACUGCCCAACUGAAAGAAACGAAAAAGGCACAGGAGGAGUCUCACCCUAAUACCUAGGAGAAGCAUCAAUGAACCCGGUAAAAUUUUGGUACGUCUCUCAAUCUUCGAUAACUAACCGAAAACAUUAACUGAAAACAUUAAAGGGCUAAUUCUAAAAGUAAUUACUCUUUCGUUAAGGAGAAAGUCGCAACACUAUUGUAAGAAUUCAAAAUUUUCAUCAGGUAAAGCUAUAAUGGCCCGGUAUAUACGUUAAGGCCAUGUAUGAUUAAGAUGGAUAGACCUCGAGUGAGUGAUGCUGCCUCAUUUCCUGUUCCUCGUUUGGUUGUGGAUUUAGGGUGGAGUUGCUCAGUCAACAGUCCUCCCCACCUUAAUUAUACAUGACUAGUGUAUGCUAAGCGAUUAUAGACAGACCUCGUGAGAAUCCAUUCACGAAAAGUACAUUAUUCCAAAAUCUCAGGACCCUCUAUAGUUCCGCAUCGACUCUACCAGUCCAAGUAUCCACGACAGUGAUACACGGGACGAAACCUGAGACACCAAGAACUUGUGUGCCCGUUUAGCACAUGGCCUUAUCGACCCUCAUUCUAUAUCAUGUCGAUGUAUGCCAACUUCGACGCCUCUAUCAAUCAUGGUUCGACUUAGUGCAACCAUGUGUAAAUUCCUAGUGUUGUGUCAAAAGAACUUUCACCAUAGCCUUUUCGGCAGAUAAAGGUCCUUCCGAACUUAAUAAUAAAACCUAAUGCAAUCCGUCAGUCGUCUCCCUUAUCUAAUCCGAAAUACCCCUGAGUAGGGUAUCGCACGCUGUUAAUCAACCCUUCCUUAGACGAAUAGAACCCGAAGCGAAAGACACUGCAGGUAUUUCAAAACAUGUUAACCACCCGAAGCUUACUCCAUAGAUCCCCCAGAAAGACCCUUAGCACCUCACAAUCAGGUUCAUGAAUCAAGAGGAAAGAACUCAUGGGACUGACUACUAUAACUGAGUAUAUGCAUAAGGGUGGUAUAUAAUUGAGAUUAAAAGAUUUAAGAUGUGUGCUUCCUCCCUACUCCAUGUUCCUCAUUAGGUUGUGGGUCUGGGGUGGAGUCGCACAACUGAACAUCCUGUCGACCUCAAUAAGAUACGGCUUGCAUACACCAAGUAUUAGUGGUUAAGCCAAGUAUGAGCUCUACCACGAACCUCAUAGUAAAAGCCUUCAUCCUAUCCUAUAGAAUAGGAACUAGAGUCAAGAGAACCACUGCGGGUUGAGCUACAAUAAUGACCACAAAUCUGAAAUUUGUUGUCAUCCCGGUUAAGCCAACAUAGUAACUAACACCCUCAGUUGGUAAAGAAAUCUGAGCCGUAAGAGUCAAGGACAUUGACUACGACCGUCCAUUCACGCUUAAUCCCACAAAUUAAGCAUCUCAGCGGAUAUCCCGGAAACUUGGAAGCUGCGAUAAGUUAAACUCUAAGAAGAGUGGAUGAGGAGAUUAGAAGUUCCGAGUGACGGAACCCUAUACUUCUAGACUUAAUCUAAAUCAAGGAAACUCAGAACCACCGGAAGAGUACUUGCAGAAGAUGCUUGCACUACUUAGGCACUUCAUCCACCCUGUUAUUGACGAGUAGUGCCUAGGACACUCCGCCUCCUCAAGUGGAAGAAGUCACCGUCGUCCUGUAGACGAUAGACUGCAUUCUCCGAAGUGAAUACCAGAAUGCCAAGAACCACAUGAUAACCUCUGCAGCCAAGAAUACUUGAAUAAAGUAUGAAAGUAGGUUGCAUUAAGCCUUAUAAUCCAGAUCCCGAAGAGAUUAUAAACUUGACACCAGUCUAGGUGUUAGUCGAGGGAUUAUACCAGAGCACGCGCUUUCUGCAACUGAAACAAACCGACACCUUAGAGAUUAGGGCAUGUCUUAGAGAUUCAUUGGACUACUAGGUGUUCCAAGAAUACUAUCUCACACAGAAAUAGUAGAACCACCUACCGAGAUAGUCCAACACUUCAGAAAAUCUUUAAAGACUGAGUUAGCCCUAAGCAGAGAUUGCUAUUCAUGAAACAGCAAACCAAGUAAGAGGAUGAUUCUUUCCUGUGAGGAAUCAUAUUGUAAAAGCGUCAAUUAGACGAUGAUGAGAAGUUUAAAAACUUUCUAAACAAUCUUCAGGUCGAAACCCUAUCUCACUGACCUUGAGAGUGUCCGUUAGAAACAUCUCAAGAAUCAAAAGUGCAUGUUCAUUUUGCACAAGAUUGAGAUAGUCACCCUGCAGCAAAUAGAUACCCGUAGACAUCCAAUUCAUCCGAUGAUCCAGAAAACCAAUCAACAGGAAACACGAAUCCAAGGAUAACCCAAGCCUUCUAAGAACCAACCUAAAGGACUACACCCGCAAUAUGAGAGAACGUUUGGAACUUUAGAAUGGCGAUCACGCCAGUGAUGAUCUCGCCAUAGGACCAUCUGGGGUUCUUUACAAAAAUAGGGCCAACCCUCGUCAGACCACGACUACUAUAAGAAAUUCCAUAAGCUUCACCCCAAAUCAAUCCACGUCUUAGAAUUAAAAAGUGCUCGAUGUGACUCUCUAAAUCCCACUUGUCUUUAUAGAAAUCAUUGGGGACUCCAACUUCAUAUAGGCACCUGUAGGAAUCGCGAGACGAGCAAUCAAGUGAACGAAACGGAAUCCACAUCCCGUAAGUGAAAGUUUGUUAGAACGGCAAGCAAAGGCCAAAGUUCACUUCGGAGCGCAAGGACCAACCGAAUAGGAAGUACCCUCAUCUCUCUACCCGAUAGUUCAUGCCUACUUCCUUUCCAAAACCCUAAUUUCGGGAUGAAAUUCCCUCUAACAGGGGGAUGAUGUGACAACCUGAAAUUUAUCCCGACAUUUUAACCUCUUUUUCCGUUAAUAAAAUUCGCUUUAUUUAAUUGUUCCGUUAACUUUUUGGAUUAGGUUAAUUAAAUUGGGACUUCUAUUAUGUCUUCAUGAGUGCCCAAUCGAUUUAGAAACACGUGAAACACCCUCAAUAUCCCCUUGAAAAUUUUUAGUUACAAUCAAGUCAAAUUUCAACCAUUCAAUCGGGUACGACCAAAAGCCCCGUUCAACUUCAGUAUCGGGUAGAUUUCCACUGGGCCACAAACUCAAACCCCUAUAUAAGGGUGGGUGGACCUCCAUUUGAAACUUUUCCACCCUCAUAACACCCUCUGUCUACAAAGCCAAUUUUGAUCCAAAAACGCCUCUUUCAAGCUCCAAACUAGUAAGUGAUCUAUCCUAACUUGUUGUUUAGCUCAUUUAACAUGUAAAUUCAUGUUUAGAACAUCCAAAAGUAGCAAAAUCAUGUGUUUACGGCCCAAGAACACUCUUGGACCGUAAACACCCAUAAGUGGGGUUUCGAAGCCCCAAACCCCUUCCAAAUCACUCCUAGGGCUUAGAUAUUACUUGUAGACUUGCAUGUAUGAGCUUAGAACCACAAAAUCAUAUCAUAUGGAGAGUAAACAUGAGUUUACAGCCCAAGAACAAUCAUGGACCGUAAACCCCUCUUCAUGGGUCGUGAGCACCUUUUAAGGUGUUAAACUUGCCCUUAAACACCUCCUAUAGGUUGGGUAAAUGUCUAGAAUCAACCACCAUUGAAGUAGGGGAAUUAAACAUCAAAGAAACUAUGGACUUAGGAGUUUACGGCCGUAAACCCCCAAAGGAUUGGUCCAUGCGCCGUAAACUCCCUUAAAGAGGCCAAAUGACGCCCUAACUUCCCCAUAUAGCUUGGAAUAAUGCAUAGAACCUUGUAUUCUUUCAUUUAAGACCUUAAAUCAUGAAUUGAAGGACCCAGUGAGAGUUUACGGCCAUAAACUCUAUUUUUAUAGCAGUGAACUCCCUUAAAUGGUUCAUUUGGAGCCUUAACC